AAUGCAUUAACUUGUAUGCCGCUCUGGAUAAGAGCAUCUGCUAAAUGACUAAAA
rfam:Salmo salar isolate Sally breed double haploid chromosome ssa11, whole genome shotgun sequence.